rnacentral:lncRNA from 1 species
GUCCCAAAAAGGAACAUCAUUGACGGUGGCCCUCGGGCCACACGUGGCUUUCUAAGCCGCAUGGACUUUUUCCCGCCACGCUUUCUUUAUUUUCCGGCAAAGUAAAUUCAGUUUAAAGUUUGCGAUCGUGUUCGUCCGAACUGCAUUACAAACUCCACGCAUCAAAGGACAUCAAGAGUAGUUUCAUCACGACGGAAGAGAGACGCAUAAAAGAGACCUCCAGACAUGAAAAACCAGCAUGGUACAAUUUGACAGGAAGGCUCUUGAGAUUGUGCUUAA